rnacentral:rRNA from 1 species
UACGUAGGGGGCUAGCGUUGUCCGGAAUCAUUGGGAGUAAAGCGCGUGUAGGCGGUCCGGUAAGUCCGCUGUGAAAGUCGGGGGCUCAACCCUCGAAUGCCGGUGGAUACUGUCGGGCUAGAGUGCGGAAGAGGCGAGUGGAAUUCCUGGUGUAGCGGUGAAAUGCGCAGAUAUCAGGAGGAACACCAAUUGCGAAGGCAGCUCGCUGGGACGUUACUGACGCUGAGACGCGAAAGCGUGGGGAGCAAACAGG